rnacentral:rRNA from 1 species
AGCCGAGUUGAGAGACUGAUCGGCCACAAUGGGACUGAGACACGGACCAUACUCCUACGGGAGGCAGCAGUAGGGAAUCUUCCACAAUGGGCGCAAGCCUGAUGGAGCAACGCCGCGUGAAUGAAGAAGGUCUUCGGAUCGUAAAAUUCUGUUGUUAGAGAAGAAUAUGAGUAAUAGUAACUGAUUAUUCACUGACGGUAUCUAACCAGCAAGUCACGGCUAACUACGUGCCAGCAGCCGCGGUAAUACGUAGGUGGCAAGCGUUGUCCGGAUUUAUUGGGCGUAAAGGGAACGCAGGCGGUUUUUUAAGUCUGAUGUGAAAGCCUUCGGCUUAACCGGAGAUGUGCAUUGGAAACUGGAAGACUUGAGUGCAGAAGAGGAGAGUGGAACUCCAUGUGUAGCGGUGAAAUGCGUAGAUAUAUGGAAGAACACCAGUGGCGAAAGCGGCUCUCUGGUCUGUAACUGACGCUGAGGUUCGAAAGCAUGGGUAGCGAACAGGAUUAGAUACCCUGGUAGUCCAUGCCGUAAACGAUGAAUGCUAGGUGUUGGAGGGUUUCCGCCCUUCAGUGCCGCAGCUAACGCAAUAA